UCUCUGGUGGCUCAGAUGGUAAAGUAUCUGCCUGCAACUCAGGAGACCUGGGUUCAAUUCCUGGCUCAGGAA
rnacentral:tRNA from 1 species